UAUCUCUGUAGAGUCUGCAUAUCAAUAAGCGGAGGAAAAGAAACUAACAAGGAUUCCCUUAGUAACGGCGAGUGAAGCGGGAAGAGCUCAAAUUUGAAAUCUUCAAGGUUUUACCUUGACGAAUUGUAGUUUAAAGAAGUGUUUUCUGUUGAAGUUUUGGUAAAAGUUCUUUGGAAUAGGACAUCAUAGAGGGUGAGAAUCCCGUAUUUGACCAUUAUUUUCAGCUGUGUGAUACACUUUCAAAGAGUCGGAUUGUUUGGGAAUGCAGUCCAAAAUGGGUGGUAAAUUUCAUCUAAAGCUAAAUAUUGGCGAGAGACCCAUAGCGAACAAGUACCGUGAGGGAAAGAUGAAAAGAACUUUGAAAAGAGAGUUAAACAGUACGUGAAAUUGUCAAAAGGGAAGCGUUUGACACCAGUGUUGUUUUCUCGAAAAUCAAUUAAAAAAAGUUGGAUUUUGUGUUGUAUUGACCUUAACAGCUUUCUGCACUCUUUUCCUGCUUUUUUUUAAUGCACUUUUCGUUUAACAAGUCAACAUCAGUUUCUUUUGUUGUAAAAGGGUCAUUGGAAGGUGGCUUUCUUUUCGGAGAAAGUGUUUAUAGCCUUUGAUCUCUGCAAUCGGAGAGACUGAGGUCUGCAGCGUAGAUCCUUCGGGGUUAGAUACAUUUGUGCUAAGUUAUAACUUUUCAUAGACAACUUGUUGACUAUGUUUAGUCAUGUAGCUUACUCCGCUUAUGCUAUUUUACCUACGCUUAGGAUGUUGAUCUGUAGUGCGUGCGC
rnacentral:rRNA from 1 species